rnacentral:rRNA from 1 species
GAUGAACGCUGGCGGCGUGCCUAAUACAUGCAAGUCGAGCGAACGGACGAGAAGCUUGCUUCUCUGAUGUUAGCGGCGGACGGGUGAGUAACACGUGGAUAACCUACCUAUAAGACUGGGAUAACUUCGGGAAACCGGAGCUAAUCCCGGAUAAUAUUUUGAACCGCAUGGUUCAAAAGUGAAAGACGGUCUUGCUGUCACUUAUAGAUGGAUCCGCGCUGCAUUAGCUAGUUGGUAAGGUAACGGCUUACCAAGGCAACGAUGCAUAGCCGACCUGAGAGGGUGAUCGGCCACACUGGAACUGAGACACGGUCCAGACUCCUACGGGAGGCAGCAGUAGGGAAUCUGCCGCAAUGGGCGAAAGCCUGACGGAGCAACGCCGCGUGAGUGAUGAAGGUCUUCGGAUCGUAAAACUCUGUUAUUAGGGAAGAACAUAUGUGUAAGUAACUGUGCACAUCUUGACGGUACCUAAUCAGAAAGCCACGGCUAACUACGUG